UGCUCCCUGCUGCGUCCAUCACCAGAGGGGCCGGGAUUGCUGCGGCAGCUAGCCAAUUAAAGGAGGAGGAUGAAGGAGAGGAGUCUGACGAUGCCGACAUCGCCAUCGUAUGCAGUCCACGCCCUCGCAGGAAAACCAGCCAAUGAAAACGCUUGCAGCAGCAUCAGCAGAACACACCGGCACGACUGACAGAGCUUCUGAAGCAUGCAGUGGAAGACCUGUCAGUCAAGCUAAAGGUCCCGCCCUCCAACCUGCUGCUGCUGCACGGAGAGGCGGAACUUAACACCUCACACACUAUUGGCCAGCUAGGACUCUGCAUCGCUGACAUCUUUGUCUGGAACCAACUUCACAUCCCUCUUCACUGCACUACUGACACUGAGAUGGAAUCCACAACCCAACCACUAGUGGUCUGCAUUGGGAACCUGAAGAGUCUGUCAUAACCGCCAGGAAUGACCGUGUGACCAUUCCCGUUGCAGACGGCCUGACUUGCACAAUUGACAAGCUGUUCAAGCUUUACUGGGUCUGCAACUUGUUAUAUCCAGCACAGCUCAGCUCUGUUUUCACCUUCUUUGAAUAUGUUUAUGACGUUCCCAUCUCAACCAACAAACAAACAAAGGCACUACAACUUCUCUCAAAGCUUCCCAGCAGAAUUAUUUUGAUUAUCAUUUUGGCAACACUUUAUUUUAUCAUUACAUCUAUUAGCUCUAAUACAUAGUGUUAAUGCCUGUAUGCUGUAUAAGUAACUUGUAAGGAAUGCACUAAGCAAAAUCAAACAUACGUUAGGCAUGUAUUCGCAAAUGCCUUGUUCAUGCACAAUUUGGGAUUUAUUACCUAAUAUAACUUCAGUAAGGACCUAACAAAUGUUUGAUUUCGCUUAGUACAUGCCUUACAAGUUACUUAUACAGGCAUUAACCCAUUGAUGCUGGAUGUUGGGUUGUGCAACAUUGGCCCUGGCGCCUGGAGUUUUGUAUGGCAUCAGCACCCUUUUCUGCAAGUGCUUUAGGCAUCAAUGGGUUAACAUUGUAUGUAUUAGUGCUAAGCUAUGUAAUGUUAAAAUAAAGUGUUACCAUCAUAUUUUUAAAAAAUAUAUGUUGUAAAACUGGACGAUUGUGAAAUGAUAUGAUGUGGCAGAUGUAAGACCCAUUGAUGUAAUGCAGAGUUUUCAUUCAGAUGAACUGUCUCUUAACCCAAGGUACAAUGUCUUUUCUUCCAAUAUGUUGGAUCCUACAGUAUUUCAUAAGAAAGUUUUCAAGAGUAUUUAACACUACUUCGAAUUUCAAGACUUUUGGGUUUUGUAAUACACCGGUAAUGUUGUUAAGAGAUGAUAGUGUACGAGUCAUAAUCAUCAAUACUUCAUGAAAUUCGCAGUGGUGUUAAUUAUUCUUGAAAAAGAUCACAUUUGUUAUCUCCCCCUCUUCUGAAAAGCCUAACAAAAAAAGAAUAUGACAGUAAAGUUAAUGUAAUACAAUUUUUUUUUUUAAUUGAAUGUAAACACAACUCUACAAAAAAAAAACGUUGCAGAGGUAUGUAGUCAAGACUUUUGAAGAUUUAACCUUGUAAACAAAAGUGUUUGCUAAAUAAAAGUAAACCCCCCCUGUCA